GCUGGAGGGAGGGACUGGGAUGGGAAUUUGUACUCGUAGCUUAAAGGGACACUAGGCUAUCUCUUCUCUGGCCCAGACACCACCUCCUGAGCAAGGCGAGUGCUGGUUCCAGAACCCUCAGCCCAACAGAGCCAGUGACCCAACCUGGGAUCCAAUUUUGGUGGUCCGUUUGUCAUUCCAGUGGCCUUGAACUGAGCGACCAGGGAGUAGCCAAGGAGGAUUUCUUGAGCUCCAGAGAUGAGCCAGCCUUGAGUGUCCUGGAACUCCCUCUCUGGACCAGGCUGGCCUCCAACUCAAAGAUCAGCCUUGCUUCUGCCAUGGGAAUGCUGGUAUUAAAGGUGUGCAGCACCGUGGCCUGGCUAAAUUUAAAAAUCUUAAGUGUGCACUUGGGCGGUUCUUGGAAGAGUGAGGAGACAGCCUGUCAGCCUCUGCUCAUUAACCUAAGGACCAUGUGACCAGUGAGGUGGCCAUCUUGUGGUUUGGUCUGCAUUAUUUGUUGGAAAAAUGCCACAAGAAGAUCACACUGGGAUAUAGAAGUUUCUGGCGAAUACUUAGCCAGGUAGCCUUUUGUGGCCAGAUUGGUCUACAAAGAGAAACAGCAUUUUGGAAAAGUGAAAUACCUUUGUAACCUAACCUGCAAUUGGUUCAAUAAAGACUUCAAAUUUAAAAAAAAAAAAAAA
rnacentral:sRNA from 1 species